UUGGUGGUUUUUAUGGCUCUCAUCUCCCACCUAAAUCACACUUAAUACCCUCUUAACACCAACCCAUUUCCUUAAUUCCCGAGACAUGUGAAUGCUUUAAUAACCAAAACCUCCACAACCAUUAUACAUAUCUUGUUCUACACCCUCACAACACCCCUCACGAACACACCUACUGUUUAAACAACCAAGAAACAUCCCGUUUGAAGUUCUCCGGAACCGUUCUGUCACUCUCGAAAACUCUCACCCACUCCCUCGUUAAUUUACGGCUGCCAGAGAUCGGAGUUCCAGAAACCUUGAGUCGCCGGAACCUUCAAGACUUCGCCGGAGAACGGAGAAGACGACCGGAGACCCACGACGUUCGUUUACGUGUUCGUGUGUUCGACAUUGGAGACCUUCGCUGGAACUGGGUUCGCAUCGGGCUUAACUGUUUGGCCACGUUUCGCGUCUGUCUCUUUUCCACUCAAUAAACGUUGCACCUACAAGACGAAGCCAAGGCCGGAACUCAUACCAUCGGUGUAGACUCACUCGCUUUGUGUUCGGUUAACCGUUUCGUUCGUUCGACUUUCCAAUCUUACUCGUGCGUACUUACAAGAAAUCACAACGCAACCAAUCUUGCCACAUGGAAUUGUUGAGGAUGAUGAUGCUAUGAAAUGAAGUAGCGUUGAUGCCUAGAAACACAUAUAGACGUUUAGGUUUAAUCGUUGUAUCAAUUAUGAUUAUGUUGUAUUGUAUUUCCCUUGAACUUGAUGUUAUUUGAUUUCCUUGUAAUGUUGACAAAUGAAUUAUGAAAUGAAAUCGGUUUAUUAAAUAUUGUCACAAAUAGCGUUAUGAUGUCUCUAGCAAUCUUCACACUUCGUCUCAUCCCGAUGUUUCCGCCAUUGGUUGGGGUGUGACACACCUAAUCCCCCCUCAAGCUUAUAGGACAAAAGGAACAACCACUGUGCUAUUUCCUAACCGUUUUAUACCAAGAUCAAGAGAGUUUAAAAUCAAAACUAUUCUUUCCAUUUUUUUCUCAUUUUUUUUCAUUUUUUUUCUUUUCUCGAGCGUAGACAUUGCUUUCCCUAACCCAGAGGCAUUCCGGUUGUAGAGUCGCUAUCCCCAACUCGGAUUACUUAGGCUUCGGUACUUUUUAUUAUUUUCUUUGCAAGGUCGAUUUCACACACCCUAGCGGUAAUCCGGCUGUAGAGUCGCUAUCCCCAACCGCAGACUACAUAGAAAUGAGCUACUUUCAUUCAGUUCCUAGCUCUUUUUUUUUUCCUUUUUUUUCAUUUUUCAACGAGAUAUGACAAGAAACUCUAACGAUCUUAACUUAUAACGAGAUCUCUUAUAUUAUUAUUGGCGGUUUCAAUUUCCCCACUUUCCCUAGAUGAGAACCCACUAGUAGACCGACAAUUAGGUAUUUUUAAGAUCAAAGGAACCUAGAACCGAAUCGGGCCUACCCGCACAUCCCAAACUAGACACAAACACGAUUAUAUUAAUCUCAUAUUGUCAUUAUUUGAACCCGAACAAAAACCCGACUUUUCUAUCAUUUUCCGCUUCUUAUUUUGCAACCUUCUUAUUUCAAAAGACAUUUUCUGAUUUUUUGAAUUUUUUUUUUUGAAUUUUUUUUUUGUAUUUUUAUAUUUUUAUAUUUUAUGACUCAAGACACUACUAACCUAGACACUAAAUGAUAGUUCCCAUCCCCACACUUAAACUCUACAUUGCCCUCAAUGUAGGAUGUAGGAUGGAAACCGACUAAAAAACUAAAAAUAAAUAAGAAAUAAAAAAACAAGGGCAAAUCGGAAAGGGCUUAGCUGGUUUAAUUCAUGCGUAAGCUCCAAAAUCUCAUCCAAUCCAGCUCGAUCGUAUAGCAUUUCGUUCGCGAUCGGCUUUGACACUGACUGGUACACUUGAUAAAUGCCUGAAAUUCGAACAGCAGCUCCAAAAUCACCCGAAUGGAGAUUGAGUACGGGUGGUACAUAUUCAAACCUGC
rnacentral:lncRNA from 1 species